rnacentral:lncRNA from 10 species
AGUCGCUAGGAAACGAGCGAGCCCGACGCCAGGGGCGGAGCUCUGGCCUCCUCGCCGAGUUGGGGGAGGCAGGUGCGACAGGAGAAUGGACAGUAAGAAGGGGAGACCCAAAGCUGCAGCUGGGAAGUGGCAGACGCUCCACCCUGGGCCCAAGACAAGAGCUGCUGCUGGUAAGUGCACCCUCUGACCUCCAGAGCACUGUCACCCAGACACUGACCUGUGAGACCUUCUAUGUAGCCACCGAGAGACACCCCCUCUGAGGAGAGCCCUUCUUCCAAGAGUGGCUUUUAGGGGACCUCUGAGUUGGGAUUAGGUGUGAUUGACUGAGGGUUCAGAGCCCAUUCAUUCAUCUCAGACCUUGAGCCUGAAUCUAUUUUUUUUUUUUUUUUUGAGACGGAGUCUCGCUCUUGUCACCCAGUCGAGUGCAAUGGCGCAAUCCCUCCUCACUGCAACCUCCGCCUCCUGGGUCCAAUAGAGACGGGGUUUCGCCACAUUGACCAGGCUGGUCUUGAAUU